rnacentral:rRNA from 1 species
AACGAACGCUGGCGGCAUGCCUAACACAUGCAAGUCGAACGAGACCUUCGGGUCUAGUGGCGCACGGGUGCGUAACGCGUGGGAACCUGCCCUUAGGUUCGGAAUAACUCCCCGAAAGGGGUGCUAAUACCGGAUAAUGUCUUCGGCCCAAAGAUUUAUCGCCUUUGGAUGGGCCCGCGUUGGAUUAGCUAGUUGGUAGGGUAAAAGCCUACCACGGCGACGAUCCAUAGCUGGUCUGAGAGGAUGAUCAGCCACACUGGGACGGAGACACGGCCCAGACUCCUACGGGAGGCAGCAGUGGGGAAUAUUGGACAAUGGGCGAAAGCAUGAUCCAGCAAUGCCGCGUGAGUGAUGAAGGCCUUAGGGUUGUAAAGCUCUUUUACCCGUGAUGAUAAUGACAGUACCGGGAGAAUAAGCUCCGGCUAACUCCGUG